GUGCUCAGUUCAGUAGCACAUAUACUAAAAUUGGACGAAUACAGAGAAGAUUUGCCCCUGCACAAGGAUGACAUGCAAAUUCGUGAAGUGUUUCAUAUUUUU